AGUGAACGCUGGCGGUAGGCCUAACACAUGCAAGUCGAACGGCAACACAUUAAGUGUUUGCUGCAACGGGGGGCGAGUGGCGGGCGGGAGCGACAUUCCUCUCAAUCUUCUUUUUCGUGGUGGUUAAUAAAGGGAAAGUUACGCUAAUAAGGCAUGCGUCCUAGGUUUGAAAGCGUGGGAUGUUGUGACCGUGUGGGAUUGGAUGGUCCGAGGGGGGAUUAGCUAGUUGGGGGGGUAAAGGCUCACAGAGCCGACAGUCCGUAGAGGGUCUGUGAGGAUGAUAAGCCACAUUGGAACUGAGACACGGUCCAGACUCCUAAGGGAGGAAGCAGUGGGGAAUAUUGGACAAUGGGCGCAAGCCUGAUCCAGCCAUACCGCGUGGGUGAAGAAGGCCUUCGGGUUGUAAAGCCCUUUUGUUGGGAAAGAAAAGCAGCAGGUUAAUACCCCGCUGUUCUGACGGUACCCAAAGAAUAAGCACCGGCUAACUUCGUG
rnacentral:rRNA from 1 species